rnacentral:rRNA from 1 species
GAUGAACGCUGGCGGCGUGCCUAAUACAUGCCAGUCGAGCGAACAGACGAGGAACUUACUCCUCUGACGUUAGCGGCGGACGGGUGAGUAACACGUGGAUAACCUACCUAUAAGACUGGGAUAACUUCGGGAAACCGGAGCUAAUACCGGAUAACAUGUUGAACCGCAUGGUUCAACAGUGAAAGACGGUCUUGCUGUCACUUAUAGAUGGAUCCGCGUCGCAUUAGCUAGUUGGUAAGGUAACGGCUUACCAAGGCAACGAUGCGUAGCCGACCUGAGAGGGUGAUCGGCCACACUGGAACUGAGACACGGUCCAGACUCCUACGGGAGGCAGCAGUAGGGAAUCUUCCGCAAUGGGCGAAAGCCUGACGGAGCAACGCCGCGUGAGUGAAGAAGGUCUUCGGAUCGUAAAACUCUGUUAUUAGGGAAGAACAAAUGUGUAAGUAACUAUGCACGUCUUGACGGUACCUAAUCAGAAAGCCACGGCUAACUACGUG